GAUGAACGCUGGCGGCGUGCCUAAUACAUGCAAGUCGAGCGAACAGAUAAGGAGCUUGCUCCUUUGACGUUAGCGGCGGACGGGUGAGUAACACGUGGGUAACCUACCUAUAAGACUGGGAUAACUUCGGGAAACCGGAGCUAAUACCGGAUAAUAUUUCGAACCGCAUGGUUCGAUAGUGAAAGAUGGUUUUGCUAUCACUUAUAGAUGGACCCGCGCCGUAUUAGCUAGUUGGUAAGGUAACGGCUUACCAAGGCGACGAUACGUAGCCGACCUGAGAGGGUGAUCGGCCACACUGGAACUGAGACACGGACCAGACUCCUACGGGAGGCAGCAGUAGGGAAUCUUCCGCAAUGGGCGAAAGCCUGACGGAGCAACGCCGCGUGAGUGAUGAAGGUCUUCGGAUCGUAAAACUCUGUUAUUAGGGAAGAACAUACGUGUAAGUAACUGUGCACGUCUUGACGGUACCUAAUCAGAAAGCCACGGCUAACUACGUG
rnacentral:rRNA from 1 species